rnacentral:piRNA from 1 species
UGCCUAGAAGUGGUGUCUCCUUUGAGGACU